UGCCCGAUAGUAUAAUGGUAGUACGACAGAUUCUGGCUCUGUAUGUAGGGGUUCGAGCCCUCUUCGGGCAA
rnacentral:tRNA from 1 species